GUAUUUGUGGAAACAUUAGACAAAUGUUUUGAAAAUGUCUGUGAGCUGGAUUUGAUUUUCCAUGUAGACAAGGCUGGCUUAGCAGGAGCUCCAGCCCGUGCUGUAUCAGCUGUAAAGAAUAUGAAUCUUCCUGAGAUCCCAAGAAAUAUUAACAUUGGUGACAUCAGUAUAAAAGUGCCAAACCUGCCCUCUUUUAAAUAAAAAUGUAAAAAGGCCACUCCCAGGUAAAAUCCAGGGGGAAGAGUCAUCUAAGUUUACCAUGCAGUUGUUUACCAAAAAUAGAGGAGGAGAGUCUUAACUUUUGCUCUUGGAUUUAAGUCAAGGUACUGUAUAGAAGUUGUGUAAAAUCAGUAUGAAAGUUCAAUGUUGCUGUUCUUGCUCAGUGAUUUUAAAGAAAUUGAGUAGUUCCUAUGUGAUUUUUUUUUUUCUUUUCUAAACUGCAUUCCUGUGCCCACCUACGGCAUGCCUCUAUGUAUUGGCUACUACAGUGUUUUAAAAAGUGUUUCAGAUAUUUCUCUAAUUAUGUACAACCUAAAAUGUUGGUGUUUUGUAUGGAUCACAAGUGCAGCAUUCCUUAAUUCCUUCUGCUAUAUGUCACACAGUUGUUAUUU
rnacentral:lncRNA from 1 species